GAAGAGUUUGAUCCUGGCUCAGGAUGAACGCUAGCUACAGGCUUAACACAUGCAAGUCGCGGGGCAGCAUGGUCUUAGCUUGCUAAGGCUGAUGGCGACCGGCGCACGGGUGAGUAACGCGUAUCCGACCUGCCCUCCACCCGGGGAUAGCCUUUCGAAAGAAAGAUUAAUACCCGAUGGCACACGUCUCCUGCCUGGGAGGCGUGUUAAAGGUCCCGACCGGUGGCGGAUGGGGAUGCGUUCCAUUAGUUAGUUGGCGGGGUAACGGCCCACCAAGACGACGAUGGAUAGGGGUUCUGAGAGGAAGGUCCCCCACAUUGGAACUGAGACACGGUCCAAACUCCUACGGGAGGCAGCAGUGAGGAAUAUUGGUCAAUGGCCGUAAGGCUGAACCAGCCAAGUAGCGUGAAGGACGACGGCCCUACGGGUUGUAAACUUCUUUUAUAAGGGAAUAAAGUUGCGUACGCGUACGCAUUUGCAUGUACCUUAUGAAUAAGCAUCGGCUAACUCCGUGCCAGCAGCCGCGGUAAUACGGAGGAUGCGAGCGUUAUCCGGAUUUAUUGGGUUUAAAGGGAGCGCAGACGGGAGGGUAAGUCAGCUGUGAAAGUUUGCGGCUCAACCGUAAAAUUGCAGUUGAAACUGUCUUUCUUGAGUGCGGCAGAGGCAGGCGGAAUUCGUGGUGUAGCGGUGAAAUGCUUAGAUAUCACGAAGAACUCCGAUUGCGAAGGCAGCCUGCCGGGCCGUAACUGACGUUGAGGCUCGAAAGUGCGGGUAUCAAACAGGAUUAGAUACCCUGGUAGUCCGCACCGUAAACGAUGAACACUCGCCGUUGGCGAUAUACAGUCAGCGGCCCAGCGAAAGCGUUAAGUGUUCCACCUGGGGAGUACGCCGGCAACGGUGAAACUCAAAGGAAUUGACGGGGGCCCGCACAAGCGGAGGAACAUGUGGUUUAAUUCGAUGAUACGCGAGGAACCUUACCCGGGCUUGAACUGUACCGGACCGCGGUGGAAACACCGCUUCCCUUCGGGGCUGGUAUGGAGGUGCUGCAUGGUUGUCGUCAGCUCGUGCCGUGAGGUGUCGGCUCAAGUGCCAUAACGAGCGCAACCCUCAUGACCAGUUGCCAUCGGGUGAUGCCGGGGACUCUGGUCAGACUGCCUUCGUAAGAUGUGAGGAAGGGGGGGAUGACGUCAAAUCAGCACGGCCCUUACGUCCGGGGCUACACACGUGUUACAAUGGGGGGUACAGCAGGCCGCGACCCGGCGACGGGCAGCCAAUCCCGAAAACCCCUCUCAGUUCGGACUGGAGUCUGCAACCCGACUCCACGAAGCUGGAUUCGCUAGUAAUCGCGCAUCAGCCACGGCGCGGUGAAUACGUUCCCGGGCCUUGUACACACCGCCCGUCAAGCCAUGAAAGCCGGGGGUGCCUGAAGUGCGUAACCGCAAGGAGCGCCCUAGGGCAAAACCGGUGAUUGGGGCUAAGUCGUAACAAGGUAGCCGUACCGGAAGGUGCGGCUGGAACACCUCCUUU
rnacentral:rRNA from 2 species